GACGAACCGUGCGAACGUUAUUCGGAAUCACUGGGCUUAAAGCGCGUGUAGGCGGGACGGCACGUCGGUCGCUGAAAGCCCCCGGCUCAACCGGGGAACGGGCGCCGAUACGACCGGCCUGGAGGGACGUAGGGGGACCUGGAACUUCCGGUGGAGCGGUGAAAUGCGUUGAGAUCGGAAGGAACGCCCGUGGCGAAGGCGGCUACCUGGACCAGCACUGACACUGAGUCACGAAAGCGUGGGGAGCAAACAGG
rnacentral:rRNA from 1 species